rnacentral:rRNA from 1 species
UACGUAGGGUGCGAGCGUUAAUCGGAAUUACUGGGCGUAAAGCGUGCGCAGGCGGUUCGUUAAGUCAGAUGUGAAAGCCCCGGGCUCAACCUGGGGAACCUGCAUUUGAAACUGGCGGGCUUGAGUGUGGCAGAGGGGGUGGGAAUUCCGGCGUGUAGGCAGGUGAAAAUUCGUAGAUAUGGGGAGGAACACCGGUGGCGAAGGCGGGCCACCUGG